AAAAUACCACACGCUAGAAAAUUGGCGCAGAAUAUCUGUUGCCUAUUUGAAUUCUUUGGACGCAUAACAGCAAAGGAUCUCAUUGAGAGAAUAAUGGAGUGCAUAUUCACUCAGUCCUUCGCCUGUCAGUACAACUGGGUUGGCAGGAGGAAAAAAAACGGCAUCAGGAAAUUAAUUCCCAGAAAGAUACUGCCAAAAAAACAGCGACAUAAAAGACGCAGGAGCGGAACUGCAUCUUAGAAAUUGGUUAAGAUAUGCAUCAGACCGAACACUUGAGGAGGAGAGGCAACGUGCGAGACCAGCAGCCACGAAGACGUAGUCGGAAUCCGAAACGAUGAUAAACAAGAUUGAUAUGUAGUUCGAUAAUAAAUGUUACAUCUG
rnacentral:lncRNA from 1 species